rnacentral:rRNA from 1 species
AAUAGUCGCAAGACUGAACCAGCAACUUGAAAGAGUAAAAGACGUAAACAAACGUAAAAUACUCUAGAUAAUAUAAAGAGAAUGACGAUUUAUUAUCUAUAAGUCUUGACCAAAUUACGUGCCAGCAGUCGCGGUAAUACGUAGAAGACAAGUGUUAUUCAUCUUUAUUCGGUGUAAAGGGUACCUAGACAGAAUACCAAGCCUAGCACGGUACUAGUAUUCUAGAGUUUUAUGUGGGAAUGGACGAAUUAUCAGUCUAGAGUCGAAAUUCAGUAAGACAGAUAAGACGGGUGUCGGCAAAUGCAACAUUCUAUGUAAAAACUGACGUUGAGGGACGAAGCCUGGGUUAGCGAGAAGGAUUCGAUACCCUAGUAGUCCCAGGAGACAAUGAUGAGUGUCAUAGGCUAGAUUACUUUAGCUUAUAAAUGAAAGUGUAAACACUCCACCUUAAGACUAAAGCGGCAACGCCCAAAUUGAAAUCAUUAGACCGUUUCCGAGACCAGUAGUGAAGUAUGUUAUUUAAUUCGAUAAUCCGCGAAUAACCUUACCACGUUUUGAAUAAUAAUUAAUAUUAUUACAAGUGCUGCACGGCUGUCUUCAGUUAAUGUCGUGAGAUUCUGGUUAAUUCCUUUAAUUAGCGAAAGCCCUUACUUUAUUUUUUAUUAAAGUCUUCAUCCUCACAAGGGAUUUUAUAAUAGGGACCAAGACAAGUCAUCAUGGCCUUUAUAACG